AGCUCCGUGGUGUAUAGGCUCAUUGAAUUGCAAAUUCAAAGGUGCAGGCUAAUUACCUGCCGGGGCUU
rnacentral:tRNA from 3 species